rnacentral:rRNA from 1 species
UACGUAGGGUGCAAGCGUUUGUCCGGAAUCAUUGGGCGUAAAGAGCGUGUAGGCGGCCCGAUUAGUCUGCUGUGAAAGUCCAGGGCUCAACCCUGGAAUGCCGGUGGAUACUGUCGGGCUAGAGUCCGGAAGGGGCGAGUGGAAUUCCUGGUGUAGCGGUGAAAUGCGCAGAUAUCAGGAGGAACACCAAUGGCGAAGGCAGCUCGCUGGGACGUGACUGACGCUGAGACGCGAAAGCGUGGGGAGCAAACAGG